rnacentral:lncRNA from 1 species
UGUCUUAUGUCAAUUUAAUUAUUAGACCAGCCAAAGAAACUAGAAGGGAAGGAGAAGAAAGUUUUCUGACAUUACAAUAGUGUCUGGGGUCCACUGGCCAAUAAGAGAGCGAGAGAGCCCAAGGAGGGGGAGAAGCAGAAGGAGAGGGAGAAGCAGACUCCCCACCGAGCAGGGAGCCUGACUCGGGGAUUGAUCCCAGGACCCUAGGAUCAUGACCUGAACUAAAGUCAGCUGCUUAAUGGGCUGAGCCACCCAGGCGCCCCUUUACUGUUUCUUUGUAUCCUUU